UACGGGGGGAGCAAGCGUUGUUCGGAUUUACUGGGCGUAAAGGGCGCGUAGGCGGCCAGUGCAAGUCAGUUGUGAAAUCUCCGAGCUUAACUCGGAAAGGUCAACUGAUACUGCUCGGCUAGAGUGCGGAAGGGGCAACUGGAAUUCUUGGUGUAGCGGUGAAAUGCGUAGAUAUCAAGAGGAACACCUGCGGCGAAGGCGGGUCUCUGGACAGUUCCUGACGCUGAGGCACGAAGGCCAGGGGAGCAAACGGG
rnacentral:rRNA from 1 species